rnacentral:rRNA from 1 species
UACGUAGGUGACCAGCGUUGUCCGGAUUUACUGGGCGUAAAGAGCGCGCAGGCGGUCGUUCAAGUCGAGUGUGAAAGCCCCCGGCUCAACUGGGGAGGGUCAUUCGAUACUGAUCGACUUGAAGGCAGGAGAGGGAAGCGGAAUUCCCGGUGUAGUGGUGAAAUGCGUAGAUAUCGGGAGGAACACCAGUGGCGAAGGCGGCUCUCUGGGACGGUACUGACGCUGAGACGCGAAAGCGUGGGGAGCGAACAGG